rnacentral:rRNA from 1 species
UACAGAGGUCCCAAGCGUUGUUCGGAUUCACUGGGCGUAAAGGGUGCGUAGGUGGUGGGGUAAGUUUGGUGUGAAAUCUCCGAGCUCAACUCGGAAAUGGCAUUGAAUACUAUUCCGCUAGAGGUUUGGAGGGGGGACUGGAAUUCUCGGUGUAGCAGUGAAAUGCGUAGAUAUCAAGAGGAACACCGGUGGCGAAGGCGGAUCUCUGGGCCUUACCUGACGCUCAGGUGCGAAAGCUAGGGGAGCGAACAGG